CCAAAGAUGGCUGGUAUUUUCCAAUUCAAGUAUUUAUGUUGAAAAAUAUGUUGGCCAUGAGCAAAGCAAAGUUAACAGGUCCCAUAUGGUCCUUCUGCAAAGCUAAAGUGGCAGAGGAGGCUCUUGGCAGACUGGGGUGAUGCAGACCAUUCCAUACCUAGGAUGAUAGCGAGUGAGGUCAUGAGAGUUUCCUCCCAUGUUGUCUUCACAAUAACCUUGGACGGUAAAUGAGGCUGCAAGAUAGAAAGACUGACCAAAGUGAGCUUCAUGGCUGGGCAGGAAUUUGAAUCCAAAUCAGAUGUAAUAUCCACUACACCACACAGACUCUACAGCCAAUUUCGUAUCACCUCAGUUUAGCCUUACUCUUUCAGAACUACACUCCCAUUCUACAGUCCUGUGCUCUCCUACCUAUGGCAGACCUGGACACCCCUCUUGCCCCCACCUUGUAUUCUUACCCCUUCCUGGCCCUUCUCUGCAGCUCCUAGUUGUGCUACUGUUGGGGCAGGAAGCAAAGCAUCUGGUUGCUGGCUGCAUGGCACCACCUGCAGGACAAAAGGCUAGGACAAAUGUGUUUUCACAGGAAAGUGUUUUGUUCUGAUUGAAUGAGAUAAUUUCCUUUGUUAAAUAACACUGGAUAAUGAGACUUCAGUUGUCAAUUAUACUUUGUCCUUGCAUGAUUGGAACAUGCUUAAUAGUCAUUAGUGCAUAUCAGCUUUGUUUCUUUGUUUUGCAGUGAGAGCCUUUGUGGUAAUGUGGCUAGAGUGGUGAAUUUAACUGGGAGAUGCAUGCUAAUAAAUACCACUUGAUCACACAGCUUACUGGGUAACUUUGGGCUAGUUACUUUCUCUCAGCCUACACUAUUUCAAAGGAUUAUUGCAAGGCAGGGCUGGGGAACCUAUGGCUCUCCAGAUGCCUAUUCGUUUACAGAUUUGUUUUUGUUUACAGAAUUUAUUAAUUUCUUUAUAUUAAAAAUGUUGAAGCAAUGUACAAAAAAGGGGGGAGAAAUGUGAAA